UGAAGAUGUAAUAGUACCAAACUUAACUUCCGAUGGCUACAGCCGGAGCAUUGUACUUGAAGAAUUAGAUGCUCCACUGGAUCCAAGGUUAGUUAGGCCAAACCUUUCAAGGAGCAAUGUCAAAGAUGACGUGGUUGGAUGGAGCCAAUUUCAGAUCAAUGAAGAUGUAAUAGUACCAAAUUUGACCUCUGAUGACUGCAGUCGGAGCAUUGUGCCUAAAGAAUUAGAUGCUCC